UCUCAAAGUAAUUAUAUCAUUAACUCAAACAGGUUCAUUAAGAACCAUACAAAAGUCACAGUAGAAUUCAAAAGACAACUUCCCCAUCUUGAUCACUUCAGAUCACAUAAAAUAAAUGCAGAUCUGGUAGGGUUUUUUUUUGGACAAA